UACGUAGGGGGCAAGCGUUAUCCGGAUUUACUGGGUGUAAAGGGAGCGUAGACGGCAGGGCAAGUCUGGAGUGAAAGGCAGGGGCCCAACCCCUGGACUGCUCUGGAAACUGUCCGGCUGGAGUGCAGGAGAGGUAAGUGGAAUUCCUAGUGUAGCGGUGAAGUGCGUAGAUAUUAGGAGGAACACCAGUGGCGAAGGCGGCUUACUGGACUGUAACUGACGUUGAGGCUCGAAAGCGUGGGGAGCAAACAGG
rnacentral:rRNA from 1 species